AGCAGUUAUGGACUUUAAGGAAACAGUUAAUAUAAUAAACCUAGUAUAAGUUUAUUAUAUUUCAGGAUUAGGCUCUGUAAGGAGCGUGGAAUCCGACGCUGCAUCGCCCACUCCGGGGGUCCGGGGAGGCUCAGCAGUAAGCGUCUGGUCGCCCGUGUCCUCACAACACGGUCCUAUGUUGUGUACCGUAAAGCUGCCGUAAGAGACCCCCGCUGUACGGUGCAUUAUGGCGCCGAGCCCCCCGAUCCUGGAUCUAUGGAUCCUCUGGUGACCCGCGGGUCCUCCGUCGGUCCGCGUCACACACGAACCGGUCUGCGGAGAUGAGGCGGAGCCGCGACGGUUCUGUUUACAUCCCGUCCGUGUGGGCCGGAAGCUAGCCAGGCUAACGUGCUAGCUUUGGAGCGAAGCUAACCAGGCUAACCUGGGGCCAGCAGUUGGCCACGGAGCAAAGCUAACCGAGCUAACUUGGUGCUAGCUGUUAGCCUCCGUGCUAGCUGUUAGCCUCCGAGAGAAGCUAACCCAAGGCUAGCGCUCUGCCAGCUGUCAGAGGGGUCGUCAGCGCUGGUCUUUCAGCCGCAGAGCCGAAACAGCGCCGGAUGAGACCCGAGCUCCAUCUCAACCGUCUCGUACCCGCAGGGACCAGCUAGAGGGCGCCAGCCGCCAGAGGCAUGGAUCUGUCGACGGGCUUCAGCGUCAGCCCCCUGCCCCGCGGUCACACCGAGGCCAUGGACCUGGUGAAGAGACCCGAGUGGUACCGCCGCCACGCCGUAACCCGCAGCGCCGACGGCAGCUCCCCACUCAGAGCCCGGCUCAGAGCGGACGGCAGCAGGCCCGACGGCGGCCUCGUCCUUCCACUGCGGCCCAAGAUGGAGGAGGCGGGCCUCCAGGACGCCGCAAUGGACUGUAGGACUGCGGCGCCGCAGGGCCGGGGCCUCUUCCACGAGAGCGUCCACGGACGGCUGUGGCAGGCGGGCUUCUACCCCACGGAGACCGCCGCCGCCGUGGACAGCAGCUCAGGGACGGACAGCGACAGCGGCUCUGAUGUCAUCUUCCUGCUGUCAGCGUCCAAGGACUCGGCGGCGUGCAGCUCCGUCAGCGGGGGGAGCGUCAGCCUGGCGGAGGGGGCGGAGCUUGCGCUGGACGGCGAGGGGCGGGGCUGCUUCCUGCUCCCCUCAGCGCUGAGUUCGGCCAGCGGCGAGAGCUCGUGCUCGUCGGACUCGUCGGACAGCGUGAUCCCGGAGCGCCACGCCCGGCCGGUGGUGCUGCUCUCCGACGUCACCGUCCGCUACGGCCACUACUCGGAGUCGCCCAUCAACAUCUCUAGCGACGAGGACAGCAUCGCCCUGGAGGAGGCGGCCGGCGGCGGUGAACCGAUGCUCCGCGACUCUGAGGACAGCGGGUCCGAUAAGGGGAGCGUGUCGGGCGAAGCGACGGCCGGGAGUGAGCGCGGCGACCUGCGGCGCAGCCCCAGGAUCAGGAUGGCGGCGAUCCCUGUGGCGACGGCGGCGGAGUUCACCUGCAGAGUGUCGCAGCACAACCUGAGGAGCCAGGUGAAGUGUGGGUACGAGGAGGUGGAGGACACGGAGGAGGUGAUGGACUACAUCAACGGGGUCGCCUCUUCCUCCUCCUCGUCAUCGGAGGAGGAGCAGGAGGACCAGACGGAGGCCCCCCCGCGGCCGAAGCUCCAGCAAAAAACACGGACUCCAAGGUGUUCCUCGGACGACUCUUCCGACAACUCUUCCGAUAAGUCGUCCGAUAACUCGACGGAUUCAGACGAUUGUCGGAACGUUCGGCAGCUCUCUGAAUCGGCCCGCAGUAGAACGCGGCGUUCAGAACGAGCGUGCCUCAAAUCCCCGCCACAGACCCCCCAAGACGCCAAACAGGUUGUUAGGACCACGCGGUCCCGACCCUCCCCUCAGUCCGCGGCGCCGCGGCCAGAGCCUCGGCCCACGCCGCCCGCCGCCAGGAAGGCGGCGCCGAGGAAUACCGUGGCGGGGAAACGGCGGCGACCGCGGAAACGCCGUCGUCCCAGCAGCCCGCCCCCGCUGUUCGCCCCCGGGGAGCCGGACCUCCUGCUGAAGUACACCCAGCCCCGGGAGGGGAGGAGGAGGAGCCAGACCGACCACUACCAGCCCUUCAUACACGUGGGGAAGAGGAGCUGCACGGUGGUGAACCAACAGGAGGAGGAGGGCGGCGGGCCCGGGGCCCCGCCUGGCCCUGUGCCCGGCACCUCCUGCUACUGGUUGGGCCGGCUGGGCCCCCGGAGCAGGGGCCGCCCCCCCGGGGCCUGCUGCCUCUGCGGCCGCUCGGCCAAUGCCCUGGGCCUGGGGGACCUCCACGGACCCUACUACCCCGUGGCCCCGCUCCCCCAGGGGGGGGUCCCACCGCGCCGCUCCUCCCCCCGGCUGGACACCGUGGGGUUGGAGAGGUCGACGCCCACAACGGACAACGCCGAAUACACGCCGAGAGUGAAGACAGAACGAAGCGAGAUCCACGUGUGUGGCGGUUUGUGUCCUGCCGCCGAGGGCGACCGUGUCCAUGGUGAGGAGGAGGAGGGGGGAGGCGGUGGGGAUGAUGAGGACGACCGGUCCUCCGUCAUGGCAGCGGACUCCCCUCGCGUUCCCACGGAGGCGACGCGGUGGCCGGAGGAGUGGUGGGUCCACGAGGACUGUGGCGUCUGGUCCACGGGAGUGUUCCUGGUCCGGGGCCGGCUCUACGGCCUGAAGGAGGCGGCCAGGGGCACCAGGGACGUGGUGUGCUGUGAAUGCCAUGAGUCGGGGGCAAUAAUGGGCUGUUUCCAGAAGGGCUGCAGUCUGAACUACCACUACCGAUGUGCCAUCAGCUCAGGUUGUCUUCUAAAUGAGGAAAACUUCUCCAUGAAAUGUUCCCAACACAAGGUAACCACUCACAGAACAAGGUGUUGACAAGGGCAGCUCAACCCGGCCUCCGGAGAUGACCUCAGGGACCGCCCACUCAUCAGUGGUAACACCGGCUAGCAUGUUGACCUGAGCGGGCUGCCCACUUCCUGGUGAGAAGAGGACGUCCAGUACAAUAAUGACAUUGAUAUUGUGAGGAAGUAUAUGACAACUGUCUGCCUCCCUGUUAAACACACAGGCUGCUAUACCACCAACACACACUGUGUGUCUGUGUGUGUGUGUGUGUGUGUGUGUGUGUGUGUGUGUGUGUGUGUGUGUGUGUGUGUGUGUCUGUGUGUCUGUGUGUCUGUGUGCAUGUGUUUGUGUGUGUAUGUGCGUGCUUAAGUGCCUGUGUAUAUGCGUGUGUGUUUCGCACGGAUGUCCUUAGAGACCCCGUUUGUAUCCCCGAAGCCCUUCUCCCAUAGUUCCCAGUGAGUCACUGGUCCCCAUUGAGGCCCAGCUAGUGGUUCACACUCUUCACACGCAGCUUUGGUCAGACACAGUCCACAGGGCAGUAGACGGCCAGCAGGGGGCGCUAAUGCAUCACUGGUGGGUGGUGUUGCAAGAUUGGGCAAGAUUUCCUGCCCAACUGGCGGCACUGCUGGUGGGGAGCAGGCCAUAGAAUGAGCAGCUCCAUGAUCUAGGAACUGGUCCAGUAUCACGACUUUAUUGAAAAAAGAAGAAUGUUUGCCAUCCAAAGAAUCUAUUGUUUAUAUAAAGUAUAUAUUGUAUAUUGUUAUCACCCAUAAGCAUCUGCGAGUUAAAAAAACAUUGCGACUUACUUCCUGUCCUCAGCGGAGGCUUGUGAUUGGUUAUCUCGCUCGCCAGUCAUCUAGAAAUGUCUUGAGGUCUUGAGGAGCCAGAUUGCCGUGAUAUUGAUCCCUGUCCCCGUUGACCUGUGACCCCAUGCAGAACACCUUCCGGGACUCUGCAGGGUACUGAGUGAGUGACGGGCGACAGACAACCUUGCUCUCUGAUCCACACUGCAGUUUGUUUCCUGCAAGUCACUUUGUACUAUUUAUUACACAUUAAUUUGUGGAACUUCCUUGUUUGGAUAAUUUGUGUCUGCACAAUGAACUGGAUUCUGUGUUAUUUAUGCAAUUUAUGUAAAUUAAAUGAAUAACUAUUCUUUAAAAGAUCA